rnacentral:tRNA from 1 species
GAGGGUGUAGCUCAGUGGUACAGCAUAUGCUUAGCAAGCAUGAGGUACUGGGCUCAAACCUCAGUACUUCCA